rnacentral:rRNA from 1 species
CCUACGGGUGGCUGCAGUGGGGAAUAUUGGACAAUGGGGGCAACCCUGAUCCAGCCAUGCCGCGUGUGUGAAGAAGGCCCUCGGGUUGUAAAGCACUUUCAGUGAGGAAGAACGCCUGGUGGUUAAUACCCAUCAGGAAAGACAUCACUCACAGAAGAAGCACCGGCUAACUCCGUGCCAGCAGCCGCGGUAAUACGGAGGGUGCGAGCGUUAAUCGGAAUUACUGGGCGUAAAGCGCGCGUAGGUGGCUUGAUAAGCCGGUUGUGAAAGCCCCGGGCUCAACCUGGGAACGGCAUCCGGAACUGUCAAGCUAGAGUGCAGGAGAGGAAGGUAGAAUUCCCGGGGUAGCGGUGAAAUGCGUAGAGAUCGGGAGGAAUACCAGUGGCGAAGGCGGCCUUCUGGACUGACACUGACACUGAGGUGCGAAAGCGUGGGUAGCAAACAGGAUUAGAUACCCCGGUAGUC